GAUGACGCUGGCGGCGUGCCUAAUACAUGCAAGUCGAGCGAGCGGCGGACGGGUGAGUAAUGUCUGGGAAACUGCCCGAUGGAGGGGGAUAACUACUGGAAACGGUAGCUAAUACCGCAUAUCAUCGGAUGUGCCCAGAUGGGAUUAGCUCGUAGGUGGGGUAACGGCUCACCUAGGCGACAAUACCUAGCUGGUCUGAGAGGAUGACCAGCGACACUGGAACUGGGACACGGUCCAGAAUCCUACGGGAGGCAGCAGUGGGGAAUAUUGCACAAAGGGCGCAUGCCGUAUGAAUCCAUGCCGCGUGUAUGAAGAAGGCCUUCGGGUUGUAAAGGACUUUCAGCGAGGAUGCGUUACUCGCAGAAGAAGCACCGGCUAACUCCGUGCCAGCAGCCGCGGUAAUAC
rnacentral:rRNA from 1 species